rnacentral:tRNA from 1 species
UGGCUCAGUUGGUAGAGCAUGUGACUCUUGGUCUCAGAGUCGUGGGUUCGAGCCCCAC